rnacentral:rRNA from 1 species
CGCUUCUUGAAUUUAAUAAGAAGUAGGGCCUGCCCAAUGAGAGUUAAAUGGCCGCAGUAAUUUGACUGUGCGAAGGUAGCAUAAUCAUUAGUCUAUUAAUUGUAGACUGGUAUGAAUGGCUGGACGAGAUUAAGCUGUCUCGGAGGAAAGUUUGAAUUUUAGUUUUUUGUGAAGACGCGGAAAUGUAAUUAAAAGACGAGAAGACCCUAUUAAGCUUUAUGUAUCAUUCUUUUUUUAAGGGGUAAUAAUGAUGAUUACAUUUUGUUGGGGCGACAGUAAAAAUAGUUAACUUUUAUUAUAUAAUUAUAUUUUAAGUAAAGUAUAUUUUUGAUCCAUAUAUUAUGAUUAUCAGAAUAAGUUACUGUAGGGAUAACAGCGUAAUUUUAUUGGAGAGUCCAUUUUGAUAAUAAAGUUUGCGACCUCGAUGUUGAAUUAGGAUCCCUCUAAGGUGCAGAAGCUUUAGGAGGUAAUCUGUUCGAUUAUUAAAUUCCUACA